rnacentral:rRNA from 1 species
AAUAGAUACCCAGGUAGUCCACGCCGUAAACGAUGAGUGCUAAGUGUUAGAGGGUUUCCGCCCUUUAGUGCUGCAGCUAACGCAUUAAGCACUCCGCCUGGGGAGUACGGUCGCAAGACUGAAACUCAAAGGAAUUGACGGGGGCCCGCACAAGCGGUGGAGCAUGUGGUUUAAUUCGAAGCAACGCGAAGAACCUUACCAGGUCUUGACAUCCUCUGACAACUCUAGAGAUAGAGCGUUCCCCUUCGGGGGACAGAGUGACAGGUGGUGCAUGGUUGUCGUCAGCUCGUGUCGUGAGAUGUUGGGUUAAGUCCCGCAACGAGUGCAACCCUUGAUCUUAGUUGCCAGCAUUUAGUUGGGCACUCUAAGGUGACUGCCGGUGACAAACCGGAGGAAGGUGGGGAUGACGUCAAAUCAUCAUGCCCCUUAUGACCUGGGCUACACACGUGCUACAAUGGAUGGUACAAAGGGCUGCAAGACCGCGAGGUCAAGCCAAUCCCAUAAAACCAUUCUCAGUUCGGAUUGU